UUUUCACCCUAUCCCUAAACCACGCACACAACUACAACAUUUUUCCUCUACUCCCCUCUUGUGACCGAGCACCGGCGACCGGAGAGCUCCGACCGGCCACUAGUUAUCUCCGGCGAACCACCACGACUCCCCUCUCACACCACUCUCAUACGCACACCAUCCUGUAACUCAGAGAAAGAGAGGCGCUGUACACGGCGGCGACGCGACGUCAAGAUCAGAAGAGACGGAGUGAGAGAGAGAAGAGAGAGGGAGAGAGACGUCAGAGGGGGAAGGAGAAUGAUGACAUCGACGGCAGACGGGCAGCUGCGGCGGCGGUGGUAGAUCUCGACGGCAGCUGGUCGUGAUGACACGACUGCGCCGCUACUCACGGUGGAGGUGGCGAUGGAUUUCGACACCCCCCCUAAAUCGAGUUCCCUGAAUGUGAUUCCGGCUUCUGAUCAUUCCGGUUUGGUAACGAUGGUGGCUGUACUGGUUGACGACAGCCGCACUUCGUGACUUCUCAGGUGGGGUGUGGUUGUUCCGGUUUGAAUUUUAGCUUCGGUUCAAGUCAGAUUUGAUUUGGUUUAACUCGGGUUGACUAGGUCAAACCGAGUCAACUCAUUGUUCGGGUUAGCGACAGUGGAGCCGGAAAACGGCAGUGAUGUCGGCUGGAUUGGUGGUGGAUAUCCUCGGAUUGGGUUUCGAUUCACAUUCGGUGUAAGUUUGGUUCAACUCGGUUAACAAAGUCAAACCAGUCAACACGUCAGGUUGACUGGUCAACGCUGGUCAACAGGAGUCAAGGGCAGUCAACAACAGUCAACGGAUUGGUUUCGGGUCAACAGCGGUCAAACAGGUCAAACGAGGUCAACUCAGGACCCGGUAACGACUUAAACAUAGCGAGAUUUAUUGAUUUCGUUGUUUUUUUUUUAGUCUACGCGAACCGAGCUUGAACCGCCGUACUCUAGUUUAUUUAUUUUAGUGUUCGUUAUAUUUUGCGAAAGAUAUAUAUAAAUGUGAUUGGUUUA